rnacentral:rRNA from 1 species
AGUGAACGUUGGCGGCGUGGAUUAGGCAUGCAAGUCGGGCGAGAACCGUAGCAAUACGGGGACGGCGGCGAAAGGGACAGUAAUGUGUAGGUACCUAUCUCCGGGUUCGGGAUAGCUGCGGGAAACUGCAGGUAAUACCGAAUAACGUCUCCGGACCAAAGGUGUGAUUCCACCUGGAGAGGGGCCUGCAUCCUAUUAGCUUGUUGGCGGGGUAACGGCCCACCAAGGCGACGAUGGGUAGCGGGUGUGAGAGCACGACCCGCGUCAUUGGGACUGAGCCACCGCCCAGACACCUACGGGUGGCUGCAGUCGUGAAUCUUCGGCAAUGGGCGCAAGCCCGACCGAGCGACGCCGCGUGCGGGAUGAAGGCCUUCGGGUUGUAAACCGCUGUCGUAGAGGAGGAAAUGCAGGGGGGUUCUCCCCUCUGUUUGACCUAUUCUAGGAUGAAGUACGGGCUAAGUUCGUGCCAGCCGCCGCCGUAA